rnacentral:rRNA from 1 species
UAGUCCACGCCGUAAACGAUGGAUACUCGAUGUAGGAAGGAAUCGACCCCUUUCUGUGUCCAAGCUAACGCGUUAAGUAUCCCGCCUGGGGAGUACGGUCGCAAGAUUAAAACUCAAAGGAAUAGACGGGGACCCACACAAGCGGUGGAGCAUGUGGUUUAAUUCGACACUAAACGGGGAACCUUACCAAGGCUUGACAUCUCCGGAAUCUCGAGGAAACUUGAGAGUGCCGUAAGGAACUGGAUGACAGGUGCUGCAUGGUCGUCGUCAGCUCGUGCCUUGAGGUGUUCGGUUAAGUCCGUAAACGAGCGCAACCCAUGUCUUAUGUUGCAUAUUUCAUAAGAGACUGCCGGCUCCAAGUCGGAGGAAGGUAUGGAUGACGUCAGAUCAGCAUGGCCCUUAUGCCUUGGGCCACACACGUGCUACAAUGGCCGGUACAAUGAGUAGCCAACCCGCAAGGGGGAGCCAAUCUCAUCAAAGCCGGUCUAAGUUCGGAUUGGGGGCUGAAAUUCGA